UUUUUCUAAACAAAAAUAGUAUUCAUAUUUUUAUAAUAAUAAAAAUAAAUAUUUCAGUGCAUGUCCAUUGCUAUUGCCAUUGCCAUAUUUUAAAAAAAAAGUAGUACUUGUCUCAGUCUCAGACCUUUCUUUUUGGUUUUGCUUUUAUUCUUUGCACUUCAUUUGCUUUACCCUUCCUUUCUUUUCCAAUUGCUUCCGCUUUAUUUUAUUUCUGACAUGCUUUCUAUUGUGUGCCCAUAUAGCCAACACCAUGCAUUCACAAGGUAAGAGAGAUUAUUUGACAGGGGACCUUGACACAAUUUCACUUAUAUUACCUCUUCCCACAUUAGAUUCACCCUAUCCACCUCUUCAUAUCCAUCUCUAGAUUUAAUUUUAUUUGAAUCAAGAUAACAUACUUUAUGCACUUAUAUAUAAGUUAAUCUAUUUACCUUGAUCAAUUAUAUAAUGUGUUUCUUUAAUUUAUUUUUUCAUUCCAAACUUGAGCUAUCUGUAGUUUAUAGGCCAGUUUUUGAGAGGCAAAUGAUCAGAACACGUAGAAGCUAGCUAAUAAGCUCUAAUAACAAUGAAAAAAACCUUUAUGAGAUCUUUUUUAAUUAAUCAUCAUUUCAAACUAUGUGUACCCUUUUUUCCCUUUAAAUUUUAUAUGAUUUUUCUACAUUCCCCCUCCCCCCCCUCUUUUUUUUUUGAUUAUUGAUUUUGAUGGAAGUGAUUCAAGGCUUCCAAUCAGAUAUCAAGCUCCUCAAGAUUAAAAACCUUGUGGGGUCUGAAUUUUUUGGCACUCUUGUGAUUCUAAAACUUCACUGUAUAUAAUAUAAGAUAUUGUUAGCAAAAUAGUAACAAUUAAUGAAUGAUUAUAGUUUACUCAUUAUUCAGUGUGUAUGUUCUGUUCUUAUGUUAUCUGUUUGUGAUGAUGCAUCUUAUUAUUUCUUGAAUCUUAAUUUGUUUUAUUUGUUCAUUUGUGUCUGCAACUAUAGGCCUAUAGCAUAUCUGAAUUCUGAAACAUGAGAAUAUGUCAUAUUUUUCAUUCAAAUUAAGCACAUAUACAUGUAAAGUGUAACAUUGACUUGUGGUGAAAGUUCAAUUUAUUAGCAAUUAAAAUAAAAAUGUAAGAUCAGGGAUAUUAGUACAGAGAGUAGAAAUGAUUCUGGAACUGCAAGUAUAUUGUAUCGCAUAAUAUUAUUCAGGGUAUGUGUAUCUUAAAUAAACAUCAUGUGCAUUUUGUUUGCAUAUCCAUCUAGCCAUUACUGACAGACUCAAGAAUAUUAACCUUUCUGUAGUCUCAAAUAUGAUGAUCAUUUAUGACUCUUAUUGUUUCUUUAUGCUAUUUAUCUAAUAAACAGUUCACUGAAGCCAUGAAUAGAGUUUUUACAGCUGAAUGCCAUAAAAUUAAUAGCCAAUCAUUUUUUGAGCUUUCUGGAUUAUCCACACCACUUAUUAUAUUUCUAGCUUCCGGUUACUAUAUUUGAAUUGUUGAGUAUGUAAUGAAAUGUAUUUUCAUUAUCUUACUACAAUAAUGGUAGCUGAUGUAACCAUUUAGUGAACUCCCCAUGUGCACAAUGCUUUCAACCUCUUUUUUGGUAUUGAACACACCACAUUCUUAAGAAUUAUUUUUUAAGCAUGGUCUGAGCACUGAGCUUGUUAUAAGGCAUUGCAUCAAACAUGUUCUGUUUGUAUUGACUGUUAACAGAUGGACAUUGCUUCAUGACAAUAAUGAAUAGAACACCUCAGUUUAGUUGAAGAAGUUGUACUGCUUUCAGCAGUAGGGCUUCUAUUACAAUCACUGCCUACAUUGUUGUAUCUUGGCCACCAUCUUUUAUUAUUCUUUGCUCAUUUAAUAUGGUUUCCAGCUUUCCAUUAUUGAUCUCUAAUGAAUUCCUUAUUUUAUUUUUCUUUUUUUCUUUUUUCUAUUUGAGUUUCCAGACUAUAUUGAUGCGUAUCUGAGGUUAGCUGCAAUCGCAAAGGCUUGAAACAACAUUCUGUUAAGCAUUGAGCUGGUUCAUGAUGCGCUAAAGGUGAAUGAAAAGUGUCCAAAUCUUGAUCCACUUGUUCAGAUUUUUCCUAGUUUUAUGUGUUGAAUACAUUAGAAUGUAAUUAGCUUGUACAUAAUGUUAGAGGGUUAUUUAUUAUUUUGAUAAGUUUGUAAACUCAUUAUCUAAUAUUUAGUAUAAAUUUUAUUUUUAUAUU